GUGAGUGUGUGGUAUGUGAAGAUAUACCUGAAAAGGGGGCUGGUACCACAUUGUGGGGCCCGCAACUGCCGAAUUUGAAAUUUAUUUGACCUGCCAAGGGAUGCCCCUCCUGGUGUCUAGCACGGUUAGCUGAGUUCCAGACCAGGGCACCACAGACCGCCCAUCCGCCAUGACGGUGAUUUCCAGACCUCAUCCUCCCAUCGUGCCAGAGGUAACCCAAUCUGAGACAACUGUAGUACCGGGAGUGGCUGGAGAAAGUUGGUGAUGAGAUUUUGAAGCUGGAUCAAAACCUGCUUACUGGCAACGUGGUCCCCAUCACAGAGACCUCAGAAACUGAAGAGAAGACCAGGUCCCCAGGAGGAAGAACUAAGUGUACCAUGAGGUAGAACUGCACGUCAGCCAGGGAUAUCGGAACCAAGUUAGCUGUUGCUUCAAGAUCCUGGGUUGCCUGCACAGUGGCCCUGGAUUGCCUGUUGGAAGAAAGCUGGCACAUCUCUGAGACUUUGCCAAGCUCCAUCCAAAUGCUCUCGUGUGUUUGCUCAUCCUUUCCACUGGCCCAGGACCCUCGGGCCCCUCCUCCUAUAUGCAGAUGAUGGCAGGCACUGACAACCAGAGGCUGUGCUAGAAUGGAAAGAAAACCUCUGUGCUGGUACAGGAUGGACCCCUGUGGUACACACUGCUGGCUCAUUUUCUCUCCCAGAACCAGCCUGUGGAUGAGCAGGGGCACGUAUGAAUACCACUGUUCUCAUGUCAUAGCCCACCAGGCUUGGCGUUUCUGUUAAAUGUUGGCAAGUGCUUCAGAGCUGUAGAGAGAGUUGUUCAGACUAACUUUAAUUUUAUUAAUUCACAUUAAGCACUCUGGAUAGUUUUUCCAUUUUUGUACUAAAAAAAAUGUCCAUUUUCAGAUAGGAAAUAAAAUCCCUUUUUUUUCCACUAGAAAUAAUGCAUUGCAUCUUUUACUAAGAAAAAUAUUAAAUUUAUAAGCAUACUUAUACUGUAAUCAUUUCCUGUGAUUACUUUUCAUUUUUAUGCUAAUAUAACUAGAAUUUAUAUAGUGCAUUAUUUUUCCAUAGUGCAUCUAUUCUGAUAAAUACAGAAAAAAGCAAAAGCACCCAAAAAGAUCUUCUGAGAAGGGCCAUAAAUGUACCUUUUUAUCAUCCUUAUUAGCAAAACAUUCUUUAUUCUCUCUUCUCUCUCUUGCCUCAUUAGAAAAAAUCUGUACUAUUUAUAGAUAUUACAUAGAUGUAUAAAUAGAUUUACUUAUAGAGCUAAAGUAGAUAUGGACCUUAGUACACUAAAAAACAAGUCAUUCAUCAGUUUCUGUGAAUCUCCUAAAUUUGCAGCCUGUUCAAAUACUUGACCUGACCUUUCCUUGGUCUGUGAGAUUUUGGAGGACCAUUAUGCAGGUUACAAACUCACCUCUUGGUGAACUGAAUGCUCUGAUUGACACACAUUACCUUUGGGCAACAAUAAGUGUAUAAGGGAGGAACUUAAAGGCAUGACCCUUGACAGCCUGAGGAAUAUACCUAAGGUGGAAAAAAGAAGAGACCUGGCCAUAACACCUCGGAUGUCCAUACUUUGAACAUUGGCCAAACAAGGUUUCUAGA